AACGAACGCUGGCGGCAUGCUUAACACAUGCAAGUCGAACGCACCGCAAGGUGAGUGGCAGACGGGUGAGUAACACGUGGGGAUCUGCCCAAUGGUACGGACUAGCUCCGGGAAACUGGAAUUAAUACCGUAUGUGCCCUUCGGGGGAAAGAUAUAUCGCCAUGGGAUGAACCCGCGUCGGAAUAGCAAGGUGGUGAGGUAAAGGCUCACCAAGGGGACAAUCCGUAGAUGGUCUGAGAGGAUGAUCAGCCACACUGGGACUGAGACACGGCACAGACUCCUACGUGAGGCAGCAGUGGGGAAUAUGGGACAAUGGGGGCAAGCCUGAUCCAGCCAUGCCGCGGGAGGGAUGAAGUCCUUGGGGUUGUAGAGCGCUUUCGCCGACGAAGAUAAUGACGGUAGUCGGAGAAGAAGCCCCGGCUAACUUCGUGCCAGCCGCCGCAGUAA
rnacentral:rRNA from 1 species